rnacentral:rRNA from 1 species
CAGCUCUCCGAGUGGUAGGGAUGAUUAUUGGGCUUAAAGCGUCCGUAGCCGGCUUAGCAAGUUUCCUGUUAAACCCAGCGACUCAAUCGUUGGAUCGCGGGAAAUACUACUAGGCUAGGAGGCGGGAGAGGUCGACGGUACUUCCGGGGUAGGGGUGAAAUCCUAUAAUCCCGGGAGGACCACCAGUGGCGAAGGCUGUCGACUAGAACGCGCUCGACGGUGAGGGACGAAAGCUGGGGGAGCGAACCGGAUUAGAUACCCGAGUAGUCC